UUCAUUGCAGCCAUGCUGUUCUCAACCAUUCACACACUUUGUGCCUCAUUUAAUAUGCUUGUUUCUUAACCGGUUGCAAAGGAGGGUGAUGAGAAAUGGAAGCCUAUGACUGAUGAAGCCACUCUAAUAAGGGUUCAUGUUGUUCAAAACUUCAAAUCCAAUUGAGGCAAUCCAUGAACCAUUAGAAGCUGGGCUGAAACUUGCUCGAUAAGAGAUUGCUAAUCUGUAGGAUGAUAAUAAAGCAUUAGAUCGACUGAUAGUGUGAAACCAAUUGAUGUCUAUUAAUUAUAGACUGUUUUGAUCAGGAAAACAAUUUUCGUUAGGGUUUCAAAGUAGUAGUAACCAGCAAGAGAGAGGUUAUAUGGUAAGGUAGUUGGGCGACAAGAAGGGUUACGAGAGGUUUGACUGUCAUGACACAAUGGUCAAUUGUCACAUUGAAGGUUGAACUGGGUAUCUGCUAAGCAAAACUAACUGUUAAGCCUGUGGCGUAAGCUAGAAUUGGCACUGUGGCUUCUGGAGUUACAAAGGGUAAUGCUUAUACAUACAGAUUGAUUUAAUUGUUAUCAAAUGAGAUGGCACUCUAUAUGUUGGUAAACUGUGAAGAAACGAGGUGAAAUCAAGAGUAAUGGGAGAUUCAAGCUACACAAGCACGAUUGACUGUUUUAUUAAGACUUAAAAAAUGACUUAAGUUGUUAUCUUUGGUUUGUAUAAAGAAGUAAAUGAAAAUUUUGGUGUAAAUCAAAUUAG